UUUUUUUUGUCUUCUAAGUACUUAUAUUAUUUUAUUGGUGUUAAUAUAUAGUGCAAUAAUAAUGAUAUUGAGAAGGCAAUAUUUUUUUUCCUACUCUCUAACUAUUUUUGUUCUUGCUGAAAUUAUAGAUGAACCAAAUGAUUAAGGGGGAGAUGAAAGCAGUGAAGACCUUACCUAAAAGUAUUAGUUGAAGAAUCUUCAGACAAUCUAGGAUUUUUUUUAUUUUUGAACUAUUUUGCAAACUUAUGUAUUCCAACUCUUGGAUUAUUAAACA
rnacentral:lncRNA from 1 species